rnacentral:rRNA from 1 species
AUACGUAGGGUGCGAGCGUUGUCCGGAAUUACUGGGCGUAAAGAGCUCGUAGGUGGUUUGUCGAGUCGUCUGUGAAAUUCCGGGGCUUAACUCCGGGCGUGCAGGCGAUACGGGCAUAACUUGAGUACUGUAGGGGAGACUGGAAUUCCUGGUGUAGCGGUGAAAUGGGCAGAUAUCAGGAGGAACACCGGUGGCGAAGGCGGGUCUCUGGGCAGUAACUGACGCUGAGGAGCGAAAGCAUGGGUAGCGAACAGGAUUAGAUACCCUGGUAGUCCAUGCCGUAAACGGUGGGCGCUAGGUGUAGGGGUCUUCCACGACUUCUGUGCCGUAGCUAACGCAGUAAGCGCCCCGCCUGGGGAGUACGGCCGCAAGGUUGAAACUCAAAUGAAUUGACGGGG